rnacentral:rRNA from 1 species
GUGAAGCGGCAAAAGCUCAAAUUUGAAAUCUAGCACCUUCGGUGUUCGAGUUGUAAUUUGAAGAUGGUAACCUUGGGUUUGGCUCUUGUCUAUGUUCCUUGGAACAGGACGUCAUAGAGGGUGAGAAUCCCGUCUGAUGAGAUGCCCAUUCCUAUGUAAGGUGCUAUCGAAGAGUCGAGUUGUUUGGGAAUGCAGCUCUAAGUGGGUGGUAAAUUCCAUCUAAAGCUAAAUAUUGGCGAGAGACCGAUAGCGAACAAGUACAGUGAUGGAAAGAUGAAAAGAACUUUGAAAAGAGAGUGAAAAAGUACGUGAAAUUGUUGAAAGGGAAGGGCAUUAGAUCAGACUUGGUGUUUUACGAUUAUCUUCUCUUCUUGAGUUGUGCACUCGUAUUUCACUGGGCCAGCAUCGAUUCGGAUGGCAAGAUAAUGGCAGUUGAAUGUGGCUUCACUUCGGUGGAGUGUUAUAGCUUCUGCUGAUAUUGCCUGUCUGGAUCGAGGGCUGCGUCUUUUGACUAGGAUGCUGGCGUAAUGAUCUAAUGCCGCCCGUCUUG